rnacentral:misc_RNA from 1 species
AAGUCGUAACAAGGUUUCCGUAGGUGAACCUGCGGAAGGAUCAUUAACACGUGAAUUCUCACGUAUUAACACUCACCGAGAACUGUUGUAUCCCCUGUUGUAGAACAUAGGUGGACUGGGAGCGGAAUGGUGUGAGCUUCGGCUCUUCAUCCCAGACCUACGAUAACCUGAGUUAACUCUCUUGAUUAUCAGCCAUUGCCUACAAACAGAAGAUGAAUUGCGGCUGCUUAUUAAGCCUGCACCUUGGCUUGCAGUCCGUGGUGACCUUAUUCACCCCUUUAUUAUUUAAUUUCUGAUGUGUAUGUUUAUAUCGAUUCCUCAGCUUGCUGGGUUGUAGUCUUUAUAAAUGUCGUAUAAUAUUUAAUACGAAACAACUCUUAGCAACGGAUAUCUUGGUUCUC